rfam:Rhodotorula sp. JG-1b unplaced genomic scaffold RHOSPscaffold_119, whole genome shotgun sequence.
UCUCCUGUGGCGCAGCUGGCUAGCGCAGCAUGCUUAUAAUUGGUCUGCCUUUUGGCACGGGUCACGUGACGGUCGCGGGUUCGAUCCCCGCCAGGAGAA